UCUCCGUAGGUGAACCUGCGGAGGGAUCAUUACAGAGUUCAUGCCCUCCGGGUAGAUCCCCCACCCAUUGCUAUAACUACUCUCGUUGCUUUGGCGGGCCGCUGGGCCCUGCCCGGCCGCCGGCCCCGGCUGGCGCGUGCCCGCCAGAGACCUCACAAACUCUGAAUGUUAGUGUCGUCCGAGUAACUAUACAAUCGUUAAAACUUUCAACAACGGAUCUCUUGGUUCUG
rnacentral:misc_RNA from 1 species